CUACGUGCCAGCAGCCGCGGUAAUACGGAAGGUCCGGGCGUUAUCCGGAUUUAUUGGGUUUAAAGGGAGCGUAGGCUGGAGAUUAAGUGUGUUGUGAAAUGUAGACGCUCAACGUCUGACUUGCAGCGCAUACUGGUUUCCUUGAGUACGCACAACGUUGGCGGAAUUCGUCGUGUAGCGGUGAAAUGCUUAGAUAUGACGAAGAACUCCGAUUGCGAAGGCAGCUGACGGGAGCGCAACUGACGCUGAAGCUCGAAGGUGCGGGUAUCGAACAGGAUUAGAUACCCUGGUAGUCCGCACAGUAAACGAUGGAUGCCCGCUGUUGGUACCUGGUAUCAGCGGCUAAGCGAAAGCAUUAAGCAUCCCACCUGGGGAGUACGCCGGCAACGGUGAAACUCAAAGGAAUUGACGGGGGCCCGCACAAGCGGAGGAACAUGUGGUUUAAUUCGAUGAUACGCGAGGAACCUUACCCGGGCUUGAAU
rnacentral:rRNA from 1 species